UACGUAGGGGGCAAGCGUUGUCCGGAUUUAUUGGGCGUAAAGAGCUCGUAGGCGGUUCCGUAAGUCGGGUGUGAAAAAUCUGGGCUCAACCCAGUGGAGCACCCGAUACUGCGGUGACUCGAGUCCGGUAGGGGAGUGUGGAAUUCCUGGUGUAGCGGUGAAAUGCGCAGAUAUCAGGAGGAACACCGACGGCGAAGGCAGCACUCGUGGGCCGGUACUGACGCUGAGGAGCGAAAGCAUGGGGAGCGAACAGG
rnacentral:rRNA from 1 species